rnacentral:misc_RNA from 1 species
GAUGAAGAACGCAGCGAAAUGCGAUAAGUAAUGUGAAUUGCAGAAAUCAGUGAAUCAUCGAAUCUUUGAACGCACAUUGCGCCCGCCAGUAUUCUGGCGGGCAUGCCUGUUCGAGCGUCAUUUCAACCAUCAAGCCCCAGGCUUGUGUUGGGGACCUGCGGCUGCCGCAGGCCCUGAAAACCAGUGGCGGGCUCGCUGUCACACCGGGCGUAGUAGAUUUUAUCUCGCUCAGGGCGUGCUGCGGGUUCCGGCCGUUAAAAAGCCUUUUUUACCCAAGGUUGACCUCGGAUCAGGUAGGAAGACCCGCUGAACUUAAGCAUAUCAAUAAGCGGAGGA